AAAUCUAUAAGUCUUAAAUCUUUAAUUAAAUCAGUGAUUUAAUCUAUUUGGGUUCUUGCCGAACUGCUCGGGUACAAUAAAUUCCCAGUUUAUUUUCUUUAAGUAUUUUGAAAUACUUACUUGGCUAAUAAAGUUCCCAUCUGAGUAUUUAUUGAAUACUAUUUCAACACAGCUUAAUAAAUUUCUUUUCUUCUGUGGCUUAGGGAAAUUUCUCUUCUAAAUUCCUGUAUUCAUUUAGGGUGAUGGUCCAUUAAACUAAUUAUAAUGGCCUAGCAUUUUAGCAACAGGCCCAGAACCCUUUUUUUUGCAGUGACCCAAAAUUUAAAUGGAGACAAAUUUCUUUAUUUUUCCUGGCCCAAAUAUACUCCCCAAACUGUCAGGGCCCUUUUUGAAAAAUGAUCUCUCCAGGCCCAACUCAAAAUUAAAGAGGGAGGCCCAAGUCACAUUAUUCUCCUUGUCCGUCACUCUCUUUCUCUCCAUUUCCACAUUUUUGAAGAAAAAUCCCCAAUUGAGAAGUCAAAACCCUAGCUUCUUCCCUCGGUGACCCCCACCGCCGCCCGUCGUUCGCCGUCGUCCCGGCGCUUUCGAAACGGAGAAAGGGCAUCGCCUCUCGGGAAACCGCCGUUGCUUGACUCAAGGUUGCUGUCUGGCGUAAAUAGCGGUGCACGCUCCGGCAGCGGCUUUGCCGCCGUGCUCCUUUCCUCACGACGGAGAGUCAUCGCCGGUUGCUCCCCGGCGUUCAGCAGCGCCGCGCGACCGUCGCGGUUCAGCCCGCCACCAUGGGGUUCUCAGCCUCUCGGCGAGCCCUCCGUCGACGUCGCGCCACCGACGGACAACCUCUCCCUAAGCUAAGUUUUCUGCCUUCUAUUACUUUGCUUGUUUCGUGGGUUUUGUUUGGCAAAGCUAUGAAAAAUCUAUUCAUGACUAUUGGUGAUGUUCAAGCUUUGAUCUUGUGAGAGUUCGAUUACUGUGCCCAUUAAAUUGGUUCUUAGCAGAAGCUUUAUGUUGUGAUCCUUGGCAGAAAUUUAGCUCAUUAGAAUGAAUCUUUACAUAGAUGUGCUACACAUUCCCCUACUGACUGUUAUGGUUUGGCUAUUGGUUAUUUCUAUGGCUUCUUAAGUGAUCAUGCUUCUAUGAUUCUAAGUUCUUGGCUAUUUAUGGUGCAUUCUCUAAAUGAUGCAAGAGUGUAUUGUGGGGUUACUUACUGAGAAAUGGGCCGUGAGGUUGUGGGAUCUCCGGCCGAGCUUAGAAUGAACUCUCUCUGUUUUGUUCUGCUGCUGGAACGUUGUGGGAAUGUGGAGAGAAUUUGGGUGAGCAUGGAGGGGUUCUCUUAUAGGCCGAGAUGUGUACUUGUGGAGAAUUAAUGGGGCUGCUGUAUAUUCUUGUUUUCAUCUUACAGCAACUUUAACUGAAAUUGGCUCCUUGUGGGUACUUAGUACUUGGAUUCAUAAAUGAAACUUGAUCUGUUGUGGCAGGUGUACAAGAAAGGGGGCCGAGGUGGUUAUCUGCAGCUCUACAAGGCUGCUGCAGCUGGAGUGUAGGGUUGUUGCAGUUUUACUCUCUUUUCCUGGCUCGUGGCAGCCUGCAGUUGUGGCUAAGGAGUGCAGUGGCACUUCCAUCUUGUCUUGCUUAUUUGGCAAGUGUUUCUUUUUUUUUGGGUCCCCAUCAAAGGGGCAAAGGGAAUUGAUUUCAGACGGCUGUCACCUUGACGUCUCGGGCCCAACGGACCCUAGAAAAACCUGGGCCGAAGACUUGUGUCGAAAGGGCCAAAGCUAGAUGUUCCCUAUUGUAAUAGGAUAGUGAGUCUCCCCUUUUCUUUUAUCUCAACAUGUACGAAGAGUCUACUAUAAUUGAAAUUAAUGUGUUUCUGUUUCCUUUGUUCUCUUUGAAUAUUUGUAAACUUUAGCUUGAAAUAAUAAAAUGUUGUGUUGCUCAAGAAUUAAAUAAAUAUUAUUUAUUUCUCUUUA